rnacentral:rRNA from 1 species
GUGGGGAAUAUUGGACAAUGGGCGCAAGCCUGAUCCAGCCAUGCCGCGUGAGUGAUGAAGGCCUUAGGGUUGUAAAGCUCUUUCACCGAUGAAGAUAAUGACGGUAGUCGGAGAAGAAGCCCCGGCUAACUUCGUGCCAGCAGCCGCGGUAAUACGAAGGGGGCUAGCGUUGUUCGGAUUUACUGGGCGUAAAGCGCACGUAGGCGGUUUGUUAAGUCAGGGGUGAAAUCCCGGAGCUCAACUCCGGAACUGCCUUUGAUACUGGCAAGCUAGAGUCCGGAAGAGGUAAGUGGAACUCCUAGUGUAGAGGUGGAAUUCGUAGAUAUUAGGAAGAACACCGGUGGCGAAGGCGGCCAACUGGUCCAUUACUGACGCUGAGGUGCGAAAGCGUGGGGAGCAAACAGGAUUAGAAACCCGUGUAGUCC